CCUACGGGAGGCAGCAGUGGGGAAUAUUGCACAAUGGGGGAAACCCUGAUGCAGCGAAGCCGCGUGAGUGAAGAAGUAUUUCGGAAUGUAAAGCUCUAUCAGCAGGGAAGAUAAUGACGGUACCUGACUAAGAAGCACCGGCUAACUCCGUGCCAGCAGCCGCGGUAAUACGGAGGGUGCAAGCGUUAUACGGAUUUACUGGGCGUAAAGGGCGCGUAGGUGGGAGGGCAAGUCAGAUGUGAAAACCCGGGGCUCAACCCCGGGAGUGCAUUUGAAACUGUCAAGCUGGAGUGUAGGAGAGGUAAGCGGAAUUCCUGGUGUAGCGGUGAAAGGCAUAGAUAUCAAGAGGAACACCAGUGGCGAAGGCGGCUUACUGGACUGUAACUGACACUGAGGCUCGAAAGCGUGGGGAGCAAACAGGAUUAGAUACCCGAGUAGUC
rnacentral:rRNA from 1 species